rnacentral:rRNA from 1 species
UACUACCUACGGGGCGCAGCAGUGAGGAAUAUUGGUCAAUGGGCGAGAGCCUGAACCAGCCAAGUCGCGUGAAGGAUGACGGCCCUACGGGUUGUAAACUUCUUUUGUCAGGGAGCAAUUGGGUCCACGUGUGGGCUUAGCGAGAGUACCUGAAGAAAAAGCAUCGGCUAACUCCGUGCCAGCAGCCGCGGUAAUACGGAGGAUGCGAGCGUUAUCCGGAUUUAUUGGGUUUAAAGGGUGCGUAGGCGGAAUAUCAAGUCAGCGGUAAAACUUCGGGG